AGAGUUUGAUCCUGGCUCAGGAUGAACGCUAGCUACAGGCUUAACACAUGCAAGUCGAGGGGUAGCAGGGUAGCAAUACCGCUGACGACCGGCGCACGGGUGAGUAACACGUAUCCAACCUACCGUUUACUCGGGGAUAGCCUUUCGAAAGAAAGAUUAAUACCCGAUAGUAUAAAGAGUUCGCAUGUUCUCUUUAUUAAAGGAUUCCGGUAAAUGAUGGGGAUGCGUUCCAUUAGAUUGUUGGCGGGGUAACGGCCCACCAAGUCUUCGAUGGAUAGGGGUUCUGAGAGGAAGGUCCCCCACAUUGGAACUGAGACACGGUCCAAACUCCUACGGGAGGCAGCAGUGAGGAAUAUUGGUCAAUGGGCGUUAGCCUGAACCAGCCAAGUAGCGUGAAGGAUGACUGCCCUAUGGGUUGUAAACUUCUUUUAUAAGGGAAUAAAACGGGGAACGUGUUCCCC
rnacentral:rRNA from 1 species